UACGUAGGGGGCAAGCGUUGUCCGGAUUCAUUGGGCGUAAAGAGCGUGUAGGCGGCCAGGUAGGUCGGUUGUGAAAACUGGAGGCUCAACCUUCAGAGGUCGACCGAAACCAUCUGGCUAGAGUCCGGGAGAGGAGAGUGGAAUUCCUGGUGUAGCGGUGAAAUGCGCAGAUAUCGGGAAGAACACCCGUGGCGAAGGCGGUUCUCUGGGCCUUACCUGACGCUGAGGAGCGAAAGCGUGGGGAGCGAACAGG
rnacentral:rRNA from 1 species